AGUGCAUGUGGUGGAUGCCUUGGCAGUCAGAGGCGAUGAAAGACGUGAUAGCCUGCGAAAAGCUCCGGGGAGGCGGCAAAUAUCCUUUGAUCCGGAGAUGUCUGAAUGGGGGAACCCACCUACUUUAAGGUAGGUAUUGCAACAUGAAUACAUAGUGUUGCAAGGCGAACGAGGGGAAGUGAAACAUCUCAGUACCCUUAGGAAAAGAAAUCAAUUGAGAUUCCCUCAGUAGCGGCGAGCGAACGGGGAUCAGCCCAUUAAGUUAUGUGUGUUUUAGUGGAACGCUCUGGGAAGUGCGAACGUAGAGGGUGAUAUUCCCGUACACGAAAGGGCACACAUAAUGAUGACGAGUAGGGCGAGGCACGUGAAACCUUGUCUGAAUAUGGGGGGACCAUCCUCCAAGGCUAAAUACUCCUGACUGACCGAUAGUGAACCAGUACCGUGAGGGAAAGGCGAAAAGAACCCCUGUGAGGGGAGUGAAAUAGAUCCUGAAACCGCAUGCAUACAAGCAGUGGGAGCACCUUCGUGGUGUGACUGCGUACCUUUUGUAUAAUGGGUCAGCGACUUAUAUUCAGUAGCGAGGUUAACCGUAUAGGGGAGCCGUAGAGAAAUCGAGUCUUAAUAGGGCGUUUAGUUGCUGGGUAUAGACCCGAAACCAGGCGAUCUAUCCAUGAGCAGGUUGAAGGUUGGGUAACACUAACUGGAGGACCGAACCCACUGUCGUUGAAAAGCCAGGGGAUGACUUGUGGAUAGGGGUGAAAGGCUAAUCAAGCCUGGUGAUAGCUGGUUCUCCCCGAAAGCUAUUUAGGUAGCGCCUCGGACGAAUACCAUAGGGGGUAGAGCACUGUUUCGGCUAGGGGGUCAUCCCGACUUACCAAACCGAUGCAAACUCCGAAUACCUAUGAGUACUAUCCGGGAGACAGACUGCGGGUGCUAACGUCCGUAGUCAAGAGGAAAACAAUCCAGACCGCCAGCUAAGGCCCCAAAAUCAUAGUUAAGUGGGAAACGAUGUGGGAAGGCAUAGACAGCUAGGAGGUUGGCUUAGAAGCAGCCACCCUUUAAAGAAAGCGUAAUAGCUCACUAGUCGAGUCGGCCUGCGCGGAAGAUGUAACGGGGCUAAAACUAUGUGCCGAAGCUGCGGAUGUAUACUUUGUAUACGUGGUAGGGGAGCGUUCUGUAAGCCGAUGAAGGUGUGUUGAGAAGCAUGCUGGAGGUAUCAGAAGUGCGAAUGCUGACGUGAGUAACGACAAAACGGGUGAAAAACCCGUUCGCCGAAAGACCAAGGGUUCCAGUCCAACGUUAAUCGGGGCUGGGUGAGUCGACCCCUAAGGCGAGGCCGAAAGGCGUAGUCGAUGGGAAAAUGGUUAAUAUUCCAUUACUUCUGUGUAAUGCGAUGAGAGGACGGAGAAGGCUAAAUCAGCCUGGCGUUGGUUGUCCAGGUGAAAGGAUGUAGGCAUGUAUCUUAGGCAAAUCCGGGGUACUCUAUGCUGAGAUCUGAUAGCAAGCUGUACUUGUACAGCGAAGUGGUUGAUGCCAUGCUUCCAGGAAAAGUCUCUAAGCUUCAGUUACACAGGAAUCGUACCCGAAACCGACACAGGUGGUCAGGUCGAGUAGACCAAGGCGCUUGAGAGAACUCUGCUGAAGGAACUAGGCAAAAUGGUACCGUAACUUCGGGAGAAGGUACGCUGUUGUUGGUGAUGGAACUCGCUUCCUGAGCUGACGACAGCCGCAGAAACCAGGCCGCUGCAACUGUUUAUUAAAAACAUAGCACUCUGCAAACACGAAAGUGGACGUAUAGGGUGUGAUGCCUGCCCGGUGCUGGAAGGUUAAUUGAUGGGGUUAGCGUAAGCGAAGCUCUUGAUCGAAGCCCCAGUAAACGGCGGCCGUAACUAUAACGGUCCUAAGGUAGCGAAAUUCCUUGUCGGGUAAGUUCCGACCUGCACGAAUGGCAUAAUGAUGGCGGCGCUGUCUCCAGCAGAGGCUCAGUGAAAUCGAAAUCGCUGUGAAGAUGCAGUGUACCCGCGGCUAGACGGAAAGACCCCGUGAACCUUUACUGCAGCUUGACACUGAACAUUGAGCCUUGAUGUGUAGGAUAGGUGGGAGGCUUAGAAGUGUGGACGCCAGUCUGCAUGGAGCCGACCUUGAAAUACCACCCUUUAAUGUUUGAUGUUCUAACGUUGACCCGUAAUCCGGGUUGCGGACAGUGUCUGGUGGGUAGUUUGACUGGGGCGGUCUCCUCCUAAAGAGUAACGGAGGAGCACGAAGGUUGGCUAAUCCUGGUCGGACAUCAGGAGGUUAGUGCAAUGGCAUAAGCCAGCUUGACUGCGAGCGUGACGGCGCGAGCAGGUGCGAAAGCAGGUCAUAGUGAUCCGGUGGUUCUGAAUGGAAGGGCCAUCGCUCAACGGAUAAAAGGUACUCUGGGGAUAACAGGCUGAUACCGCCCAAGAGUUCAUAUCGACGGCGGUGUUUGGCACCUCGAUGUCGGCUCAUCUCAUCCUGGGGCUGAAGCAGGUCCCAAGGGUAUGGCUGUUCGCCAUUUAAAGAGGUACGCGAGCUGGGUUUAGAACGUCGUGAGACAGUUCGGUCCCUAUCUACCGUGGGCGCUGGAAAUUUGAGAGGAUCUGCUCCUAGUACGAGAGGACCAGAGUGGACGAACCUCUGGUGUACCGGUUGUGACGCCAGUCGCAUCGCCGGGUAGCUAUGUUCGGAAGGGAUAACCGCUGAAAGCAUCUAAGCGGGAAGCCUACCUCAAGAUAAGAUUUCCCUAGGACUUUAUGUCCUCUAAAGAGCCGUUCGAGACUAGGACGUUGAUAGGUUGGAUGUGGAAGCAUAGUGAUAUGUGAAGCUGACCAAUACUAAUUGCUCGUGAGGCUUGACU
rnacentral:rRNA from 1 species